GAUUAAAGCAACUCAAGAGUGUAUGGUGGAUGUCUUGGUUGAAAAAGCUGAAGAAGGACGUGGUAGCCUGCGAUAAGCUUCGGGGAGCUGGCAAACAAGCUGUGAUCCGAAGAUGUCCGAAUGGGGGAACCCAUCCCGAGUAACAUCGGGAUACCUUAUGUCGAAUACAUAGGCAUAGAGGGAGAAAGCUGGUGAACUGAAACAUCUCACUAACCAGAAGAAAAAAUACCGAAUGGUAUUCCCUUAGUAGUGGCGAGCGAACGGGGAUCAGCCCAAACUCAACAGGUAGGUAGAAGAAGAUGCGUCUGCUUUGCGGACAAUUUUUCGGAUACACCCGUGCAGGGGUGGUUACAGUUGGGUGUUGUAGGAGGUAAACGUUGCUAUACUGCAAAGUAGCAGAACAAGUGAUAAAUCUUAUUUCUAAUAGAACACGGUUGGAAAGCCAGACCAUAGAGGGUAAUAGUCCCGUAUAUGAAAGGAAUAAGACUUGUUGGUUUACGAUCCUGAGUACCACGAUCAAUGUAGGAUUUUGUGGGAAUCAACACGAACCAUCGUGUAAGGCUAAACACUUUUUCAAACCGAUAGUGGACAAGUACCGAGAGGGAAAGAUGAAAAGUACCCCUGAUAGGGGAGUGAAAUAGUUCCUAAAACCAUAUACUUACAAACAGUGGGAGCCACGUUUACGUGGUGACCGCGUGCCUAUUGAAGAAUGAGCCUGCGAGUUAUUCUAUGUUGCUUGCUUAAACUGUUUUGCAGUGUAGGCGCAGCGAAAGCGAGUCUGAAAGGGCGCGUGUAGCAUAGAAUAGACCCGAAACCGAGUGAUCUACGCAUGAGCAGGUUGAAUCUCGAUGAGAAUCGAGAGGAGGACCGAACCAGUGAAUGUUUCAAAAUUCUUGGAUGACUUGUGUGUAGCGGUGACACGCCAAACGAACUCGGAAAUAGCUGGUUCUCCUCGAAAUAACUUUAGGGUUAGCCUUGGUGUUAAAUUCUUACGGGGGUAGAGCACUGAUUGGAUUGUGGGGGGUAUAUACCUUACUGCGUUCUCUCAAACUCCGAAUACCGUAAGUUUUUUACCAGGAGUUAGACUAUGGGGGCUAAGCUCCAUCAGUCGAAAGGGAAACAGCCCAGAUCAUCAGCUAAGGUCCUUAAAUUUAUGCUCAGUGGGAAAGGAUGUGAAAUUUCUUAAACAGCCAGGAGGUUCGCUUAGAGGCAGCUAUCCUUUAAAGAGUGCGUAACAGCUCACUGGUCGAGAGAUUUUGCGCCGACAAUUCAACGGGGCUAAAGCAUAAUACCGAAGCCAUGACUUUAUGUACCUAUGGUACAUAAGGGGUAGAGGAGCAUUGUGUUCAGCUGUGAAGGUGUACUGUAAAGUAUGCUGGAGCGUACACAAGAGAGAAUGCAGGCAUGAGUAGCGUAAUCUCGGUGAAAACCCGGGACACCGAAUAUCUAAGGUUUCCACAGCAAUGUCAGUCAUCUGUGGGUUAGUCGGUCCUAAGUCAAGGCCGAAUGGCGUAGACGAUGGACAACUGGUUAAUAUUCCAGUACCGCCUUUAAUUCGUUAUUAGUUAAGGAAGGACUAAAUGUGCAACUUCCAAGCCUCGACAGGUCGGGGUAUAAAUAGUAAGCCAGUCUGAUUUGGUAAAUCCGGUCAGGCGAAAUCUCUGCUUCGGCGGAAAAUAGGUGAGCUAUGAUGUAGAACUGAAGCGCAAGCGGAUGUGAUUUGGAAUAGUAUGUUUACAAGAAAAUUUUCUAUACGAGAAUUAAGGGUGACCGUACCGCAAACCGACACUGGUAGAUUGGUAGAGUAUACCAAGGUGUACGGAUGAUCCUUUGUUAAGGAACUCGGCAAAUUACUACCGUACGUUCGCAAUAAGGUAGCCCCGGAAAGCGCUUGCGCUUAUACGGGGGGCACAUAAGAGGCUCGAUCGACUGUUUAACAAAAACACAGGUUCCUGCUAACCCGUAAGGGGAUGUAUAGGAGCUGACGCCUGCCCAAUGCCAGAAGAUUACGGAAGGAGGUUAUCUGCCUUUGGCAGAGAAGCUUCCAACUUAAGUCCUGGUGAAUGGCGGCUGUAACUAUAACGGUCCUAAGGUAGCGAAGUUCCUCGGCGCUUAAUAGGCGUCCCGCAUGAAGGGCGUAACGAGUUGGGCACUGUCUUAACAAGGAGUCCGGCGAAAUUGAAGUGGCGGUGAAGAUGCCGUCUACCCGCACCUGGACAAAAAGACCCCGGGAUCUUUACUGUAUCUUGACAUUGAAAUAAAGGUUAAGUUGUAGAGCGUAGGAGGGAGACUUUGAAGUCUCAGCGCUAGCUGGGAUGGAGUCAAGCAUGCAACACCUCCCUUCGUUUCUUUUGUUUCUAACCAUCUUCCGUAAGCCGGAAAUGAGACAGUGUCAGGUGGGCAGUUUGACUGGGGCGGUUUCAUACUAAAGGAUAACGUAUGAUUGCAAAGGUCGACUCAAGCUGGAUGGAAAUCAGCUGAAGAGCAUAAUGGUAUAAGUCGGCUUUACUGUGAGAGGGACACCUCGAGCAGUCACGAAAGUGGGCCAUAGUGACCCUUUGGCAACAAAUGGGAGUGCCAUUGUUUAAAGGAUAAAAGUUACCCCGGGGAUAACAGGCUAGUCUUGCCCAAGCGCUCAUAGCGACGGCAAGGUUCGGCACCUCGAUGUCGGCUCGUCGUAUCCUGGAGCUGGAUAAGGUUCCAAGGGUUGGGCUGUUCGCCCAUUAAAACGGCACGUGAGCUGGGUUCAAACCGACGUGAGUCAGGUUGGUCUCUAUCCGGUGUGGGCGUUCGAAUUCUGAGGAGAUUGCUCCCUAGUACGAGAGGAUCGGGAGGAGGUAGCCUCUAGUGCACCAGUUGUUCCACCAGGAGCAUCGCUGGGUAGCUACGCUGCUAUUGUGAUAAGCGCUGAAAGCAUAUAAGCGUGAAGCCAGCUCCAAGAUGAGAAUUCGUCUGAGACCUGCGGAAGACUACCGCGUUGAUAGGCUCUAGGUGUAAGCACAGUAAUGUGUUUAGCCAAGGAGUACUAAUCGGUCGAAAGCUUUAGUUUC
rnacentral:rRNA from 1 species